CCCUUAGAUGUUCUGGGCCGCACGCGUGCUACACUGAGUGGAUCAGCGGGUCAGGUUGCGCGAAAGUGUUUCCUAAUCUUGAAAUCCGCUCGUGAUGGGGAUUGACGGUUGCAAUUUUCCGUCAUGAACGAGGAAUGCCUUGUAAGCGCGGGUCAUCAUCCCGCGCUGAAUACGUCCCUGCCCUUUGUACACACCGCCCGUCGCUCCUACCGAUUGAGUGGUCCGGUGAGGCUUUGGGAUCUGAGCGGAAAGAGCGUUUCGCUGUUUCUGCUCGGAAAACUCAGUCGAACCUUAUCAUUUAGAGGAAGGAGAAGUCGUAACA
rnacentral:rRNA from 1 species